rnacentral:rRNA from 1 species
GAACGCUGGCGGCGUGCUUAACACAUGCAAGUCGAACGGAAAGGCCCUGCUUUUGUGAGGUGCUCGAGUGGCGAACGGGUGAGUAACACGUGAGUAACCUGCCCUUGACUUUGGGAUAACUUCAGGAAACUGGGGCUAAUACCGGAUAGGAGCUCCUGCUGCAUGGUGGGGGUUGGAAAGUUUCGGCGGUUGGGGAUGGACUCGCGGCUUAUCAGCUUGUUGGUGGGGUAGUGGCUUACCAAGGCUUUGACGGGUAGCCGGCCUGAGAGGGUGACCGGCCACAUUGGGACUGAGAUACGGCCCAGACUCCUACGGGAGGCAGCAGUGGGGAAUAUUGCACAAUGGGCGGAAGCCUGAUGCAGCAACGCCGCGUGCGGGAUGACGGCCUUCGGGUUGUAAACCGCUUUCGCCUGUGACGAAGCGUGAGUGACGGUAAUGGGUAAAGAAGCACCGGCUAACUACGUG